UGGCGGCAGCUAAUACAUGACAAGUCGAGCGGACGGAUGGGAGCUUGCUCCCCUGAAGUCAGCGGCGGACGGGUGAGUAACACGUGGGCAACCUGCCUGUAAGACUGGGAUAACUUCGGGAAACCGGAGCUAAUACCGGAUAAUGCAUUUCCCCUCAUGGGGAUAUGCUGAAAGAUGGUUUCGGCUAUCACUUACAGAUGGGCCCGCGGCGCAUUAGCUAGUUGGUGAGGUAACGGCUCACCAAGGCAACGAUGCGUAGCCGACCUGAGAGGGUGAUCGGCCACACUGGGACUGAGACACGGCCCAGACUCCUACGGGAGGCAGCAGUAGGGAAUCUUCCGCAAUGGACGAAAGUCUGACGGAGCAACGCCGCGUGAGUGAUGAAGGUUUUCGGAUCGUAAAACUCUGUUGUCAGGGAAGAACAAGUGCCGGAGUAACUGCCGGCACCUUGACGGUACCUGACCAGAAAGCCACGGCUAACUACGUGCCAGCAGCCGCGGUAAUACGUAGGUGGCAAGCGUUGUCCGGAAUUAUUGGGCGUAAAGCGCGCGCAGGCGGUCUCUUAAGUCUGAUGUGAAAGCCCACGGCUCACCCGUGGAGGGUCAUUGGAAACUGGGGGACUUGAGUGCAGAAGAGGAAAGU
rnacentral:rRNA from 1 species